rnacentral:rRNA from 1 species
UAAAUUGAGAGUUUGAUCCUGGCUCAGGACGAACGCUGGCGGCGUGCCUAAUACAUGCAAGUCGAACGAAGCUUUCUUUCACCGAAUGCUUGCAUUCACCGAAAGAAGCUUAGUGGCGAACGGGUGAGUAACACGUAGGCAACCUGCCCAAAAGAGGGGGAUAACACUUGGAAACAGGUGCUAAUACCGCAUAACCAUGAACACCGCAUGAUGUUCAUGUAAAAGACGGCUUUUGCUGUCGCUUUUGGAUGGGCCUGCGGCGUAUUAACUUGUUGGUGGGGUAACGGCCUACCAAGGUGAUGAUACGUAGCCGAACUGAGAGGUUGAUCGGCCACAUUGGGACUGAGACACGGCCCAAACUCCUACGGGAGGCAGCAGUAGGGAAUCUUCCACAAUGGACGAAAGUCUGAUGGAGCAACGCCGCGUGAAUGAAGAAGGCCUUCGGGUCGUAAAAUUCUGUUGUCAGAGAAGAACGUGCGUGAGAGUAACUGUUCACGUAUUGACGGUAUCUGACCAGAAAGCCACGGCUAACUACGUGCCAGCAGCCGCGGUAAUACGUAGGUGGCGAGCGUUGUCCGGAUUUAUUGGGCGUAAAGGGAACGCAGGCGGUCUUUUAAGUCUGAUGUGAAAGCCUUCGGCUUAACCGAAGUAGUGCAUUGGAAACUGGAAGACUUGAGUGCAGAAGAGGAGAGUGGAACUCCAUGUGUAGCGGUGAAAUGCGUAGAUAUAUGGAAGAACACCAGUGGCGAAAGCGGCUCUCUGGUCUGUAACUGACGCUGAGGUUCGAAAGCGUGGGUAGCAAACAGGAUUAGAUACCCUGGUAGUCCACGCCGUAAACGAUGAGUGCUAAGUGUUGGAGGGUUUCCGCCCUUCAGUGCUGCAGCUAACGCAUUAAGCACUCCGCCUGGGGAGUACGGUCGCAAGACUGAAACUCAAAGGAAUUGACGGGGGCCCGCACAAGCGGUGGAGCAUGUGGUUUAAUUCGAAGCAACGCGAAGAACCUUACCAGGUCUUGACAUCUUCUGACAAUUCCAGAGAUGGAACGUUCCCUUCGGGGACAGAAUGACAGGUGGUGCAUGGUUGUCGUCAGCUCGUGUCGUGAGAUGUUGGGUUAAGUCCCGCAACGAGCGCAACCCUUAUUGUCAGUUGCCAUCAUUAAGUUGGGCACUCUGGCGAGACUGCCGGUGACAAACCGGAGGAAGGUGGGGAUGACGUCAAAUCAUCAUGCCCCUUAUGACCUGGGCUACACACGUGCUACAAUGGACGGUACAACGAGUCGCUAACUCGCGAGGGCAAGCUAAUCUCUUAAAGCCGUUCUCAGUUCGGAUUGCAGGCUGCAACUCGCCUGCAUGAAGUCGGAAUCGCUAGUAAUCGCGAAUCAGCAUGUCGCGGUGAAUACGUUCCCGGGCCUUGUACACACCGCCCGUCACACCAUGAGAGUUUGUAACACCCAAAGUCGGUGGGGUAACCUUUUGGAGCCAGCCGCCUAAGGUGGGACAGAUGAUUGGGGUGAAGUCGUAACAAGGUAGCCGUAGGAGAACCUGCGGCUGGAUCACCUCCUUU